CCUACGGGAGGCAGCAGUGGGGAAUAUUGGACAAUGGGCGAAAGCCUGAUCCAGCAAUGCCGCGUGAGUGAUGAAGGCCUUUGGGUCGUAAAGCUCUUUUACCAGGGAUGAUAAUGACAGUACCUGGAGAAUAAGCUCCGGCUAACUCCGUGCCAGCAGCCGCGGUAAUACGGAGGGAGCUAGCGUUGUUCGGAAUUACUGGGCGUAAAGAGUACGUAGGCGGUUAUUCAAGUCAGAGGUGAAAGCCCGGGGCUCAACCCCGGAACUGCCUUUGAAACUAGAUAACUAGAGUCUUGGAGAGGUUAGUGGAAUUCCGAGUGUAGAGGUGAAAUUCGUAGAUAUUCGGAAGAACACCAGUGGCGAAGGCGACUAACUGGACAAGUACUGACGCUGAGGUACGAAAGCGUGGGGAGCAAACAGGAUUAGAUACCCUGGUAGUCCACGCCGUAAACGAUGAUAACUAGUUGUUCGGUCACUUGGUGACUGAGUGACGCAGCUAACGCAUUAAGUUAUCCGCCUGGGGAUACGGUCGCAAGAUUAAAACUUAAAGGAAUUGACGG
rnacentral:rRNA from 1 species